GCGCGUUGGGGCCGUCCCGAGCCAAAAUCUCUGCUGCUCUUGCACUCGAGAGACCCUGCAGAAGGAGGUGACGUGUUUACAGUGAAAUCACAAACUGAUUUUUACCCCAGCCCAGAGCAAAAUGCACGUGCUGCUGUUUUUUCACACAUUUACAAUGAAAUCGCAAACAGAUUUUUACCCCAGCUCAGAGCAAAAUGCACGUGCUGCUGGUUUUUCACACAUUUACAGUGAAACCACAACAAAAUGCUUGUGCUGAUGUUUCUUUCAAGGUUGUUUGUGUCACAAACCAGCUGCAACUCUGAUUUCCAAACCUCCUGAUUUCAGAGUGGCUGCUAUUAAUUAUCUGCUCUGGAGAAAGAGCUAUUUCUUAUUUCUUCUGGAGCACUGAAUUUGGGGUCGCAUCCAUCAGGAGUUUCCAUUCCGUUGGUUAUCAAUCAAAUAUACCUGGACUAAGUGUUUGGAAAGUCAGGGGAAAACUGACAUUCUUUUGCUGCUGCUUCUGCAUUUCCACAAGGUGUUAGUAGCCCAGGAAGUUCUUGAAAUUCUUGUCUGGGUUCUGGCCACGUUCAGUGCUUUGAUAUUCAAAUGUCAGGUGUCAAAGGGACUCAGGUUCAGUUUUUCAAAUCUAGAUUUUCCUUCAAAAUCAGCUCAAUCCAUGCAGUCUUUGGCUAUAAACUGUCACAGUGAAAAGUGAAUUGUGGCGAAAUCAAAGGAUCAGAUAACAGCUUUAGAAAAAAUGAGGUCCUGGUGCAAAACCCUGAGUCCCAUUUUUGAUUUCAAAGCAGUAGCUCAGCUUUCUUCAGCCUCGAGAGAAACUCCGCUUUAAAUCCAGAGCAGUGCUCGCUGGCUUGCUGGUUGAGGCUUUACUGAGAGCAUCAAUGCAGGCACCCACACACAUCUAACAAUGGAAUUCCUGCUCCUGGGAGCUCUGGGGAGGCCAGAGGCACCUGACUGAGGCAGUUCCUUAAGGAAGCCCUGGGCACUUACUUUGUCGAUGCUGGUACCGUACUUCAUCUCCAGCUCCGAGGUGCUGAGCCUGUGGUCAUCCUGCAUGCCAAGAGAGACAGGAAAUUACAGUGAGCAAAGCAUCAGACUGAUGGAAAUUUUUAUUUCCAGACUGCCUGGAUCUGGGAACAUGGAUGAAGCUUCUUGUAAGACACCCCACUUUCAUUAAUUAGAUAAAUCUGCAUAUUGAUGAGCAAAAUAUCUUCCACUGGAAGAUGAGAUUUUUUCUUUUUGAUAUGCAGAGUGCUUUUGUAAAUAGCUCCCUCCUCCAGCAAAUCUGUCACAAGAACAGGGUGGUGUGUUCAUGUUUCUGUUGCUUGCCACGAGGGGCUGUGCUUCUUUUGGAUAAAUCAUUUUCAGUCUGCAUGCUGCAGGGCUCAGAGUGUGUGACAACAACCUCUGCCCUUGAUUGCCAGGGUAGGGAAUGUGAAUUAUCCUCCUCAGUCUGGUGGAAAGAGGCAACAGGUUCUAAGCACAGAAACACGGGAGUGGAGUUACAUGCCCCGGUGGCAAAGGCAACACAGACAGAAAUAUUUACCUGCUGCUGGGCAGAUCUUGGAAACGUGCUGGGUGAAUGGGAUGAUGAAUGGGCUGGUUCUGCCUGAGGGAGCGUGUUUAAGAACAAGGUGAAAGAGGCUGACUGUGCUACGAGGAGGACAAAGCUGGGAACCCCAGAUGGAGGGUGCAAAACACAGCCAAAAUCCCAAAAAGUUUCUGUUUCACAAUGGGGAACUUGGUUGUGCAAAGCAAUAAGGGACAUCAGACCAAAAAUCUCCAUUGCCAAGUCUUCUGGUCUUUUAAGGGAUGUGGGAUGAUUUAUGUCUGUGUUUACUGACAGCUCGGAGCAGAUUCAGCUUUAUUUCCUUUAUUCAUGUUUAAGGAAAAGCAGCAGCCAAGGUAAGACAGCAACAUUUGCUGAACAAGCUUUCCUCCACAAAAACGCAAUCCUCGCACCGA